AAUGAACGUUGGCGGCGUGGAUUAGGCAUGCAAGUCGUACGGGUCGGUGUAGCAAUACAACGGCAAGUGGCGAAAGGGAGAGUAACACGUAGAUACCUACCCUCUGGUCGGGGAUACCGCGGCAUAACCGCAAGUAAUACCCGAUAAAAUCUCCGGAUCAAAGGUGUGAUUCCGCCGGAGGAGGGGUCUGCGUUCUAUCAGCUUGUUGGUGAGGUAAUGGCUCACCAAGGCUAAGACGGAUACGGGGUGUGAGAGCAUGCCCCCGCUCACUGGGACUGAGACACUGCCCAGACACCUACGGGUGGCUGCAGUCGAGAAUCUUCGGCAAUGGGCGCAAGCCUGACCGAGCGACGCCGCGUGCGGGAUGAAGGCCUUCGGGUUGUAAACCGCUGUCGAGGGGAAUGAAGUGUAGGUGGGUACUCCCAUCUAUUUGACAGAUCCCUGGAGGAAGCAUGGGCUAAGUUCGUGCCAGCCGCCGCAGUAAUAC
rnacentral:rRNA from 1 species